AAUCUUUCCCAUUUUCUUAAAAUUUUCUUCAAUUUUCCCGUUGACUUCCAAAAUCAAAAUAUUGAUUUUGGUUUUUGGUUUGGGGUUCCAUUUUUCUUCUCUUUCGCGUUCUUUCGAUCCGAUUGUUAGGUUUUUUCUUCACAUCUUUGAUCCUCCUUUCCUUAGGGUUUAGACCUUUUCUUUGUCGUCUCAGAUCCUCAAUUUCACCGCGUAAUUCCUUUCCACUUCCCUCAGUUUCCACCCUUUGGUCUUCAUUUUUGUUCUCCUUUUUCCUCGCGUUUACUACUCCUUUCUUCUUCAUAGUGUUUAAGACGUCAGAAAUCUUUGUUUUGUUGGGAGGUGCCUAUUUAAUUGGUUUUCUUGUUCAUACCAUUUCUGGGUUCUCUUUGCUUUCUGAGAAUGGCUAUGCGGUUGACGGCUUCUGGGAUUUUUAAAUUGCGGAGGAUCAAGUGAAGGGCAAGUUGGCAAGUUGCAAUGCAAGGAGUCUAAAACUGGGCCCCCCCAAAACCAACUCCAAAUUCAAAUUGCCAUUAAAUUAUGCAAUUUCAUUCAAGUGGAAGCACUCAAAAAGGAGGAGAAAGCCACAAACAAUGGGAAAAAAAGGUUUUUUUUUCUUCCUUCUGGUCUCUCUCCAAAUUUGAGAUCACAAUUUAAAGUUGCAUCACUUUCACACCUAUCAUUGUCCCCACUUCCCUAAUUCUCUUGUGUUUGAAAUUGAGGUGUAGAUUUGAAAUUUUGACCUCUGAAUGAAAUAAUGGAUGUUGUAAUACGUUGGUAAGGUUAAGAACAAAAAUGUGGAAAGUAAGAAUUUGAACCUUCAACUUAUGGUUUACUUAUGAUCAUUGA